AAAGCGAGCGGCGGAUGGGUGAGUAACACGUGGGGAACCUGCCCCUAAGUCUGGGAUACCAUUUGGAAACAGGUGCUAAUACCGGAUAAUAAAGCAGAUCGCAUGAUCAGCUUUUGAAAGGCGGCGUAAGCUGUCGCUAAGGGAUGGCCCCGCGGUGCAUUAGCUAGUUGGUAAGGUAACGGCUUACCAAGGCGACGAUGCAUAGCCGAGUUGAGAGACUGAUCGGCCACAUUGGGACUGAGACACGGCCCAAACUCCUACGGGAGGCAGCAGUAGGGAAUCUUCCACAAUGGACGCAAGUCUGAUGGAGCAACGCCGCGUGAGUGAAGAAGGUUUUCGGAUCGUAAAGCUCUGUUGUUGGUGAAGAAGGAUAGAGGUAGUAACUGGCCUUUAUUUGACGGUAAUCAACCAGAAAGUCACGGCUAACUACGUGCCAGCAGCCGCGGUAAUACGUAGGUGGCAAGCGUUGUCCGGAUUUAUUGGGCGUAAAGCGAGCGCAGGCGGAAAAAUAAGUCUAAUGUGAAAGCCCUCGGCUUAACCGAGGAACUGCAUCGGAAACUGUUUUUCUUGAGUGCAGAAGAGGAGAGUGGAACUCCAUGUGUAGCGGUGGAAUGCGUAGAUAUAUGGAAGAACACCAGUGGCGAGGGCGGCUCUCUGGUCUGCAACUGACGCUGAGGCUCGAAAGCAUGGGUAGCGAACAGGAUUAGAUACCCUGGUAGUCCAUGCCGUAAACGAUGAGUGCUAAGUGUUGGGAGGUUUCCGCCUCUCAGUGCUGCAGCUAACGCAUUAAGCACUCCGCCUGGGGAGUACGACCGCAAGGUUGAAACUCAAAGGAAUUGACGGGGGCCCGCACAAGCGGUGGAGCAUGUGGUUUUAAUUCGAUGCAACGCGAAGAA
rnacentral:rRNA from 1 species